rnacentral:rRNA from 1 species
UUUCUUGAUUCUUUGGGUGUGGUGCCAUGGCCGUUCUUAGUUGGUGGAGUGAUAUGUCUGGUUAAUUCCGUUAACGAACGAGACCUUAACCUGCUAACUAGCUGCUUGGAUAUUGUCCUCGUUUGCUUCUUAGAGGGACUCCCGUGCUUCAAGCGUGGGGGAAGUUUAAGGCAAUAACAGGUCUGUGAUGCCCUUAGAUGUCCUGGGCUGCACGCGCGCUACACUGAUGCAUCCAUCGAGUUUGUCCUGUCCCGAAAGGGUUGGGUAAUCUUUAGUGUGCAUCGUGUCGGGGAUUGAUUUUUGCAAUUCUAAAUCAUGAACGAGGAAUGCCUAGUAUGCGCAAGUCAUCAGCUUGUGCAGAUUACGUCCCUG